rnacentral:rRNA from 1 species
AUUGAACGCUGGCGGCAGGCCUAACACAUGCAAGUCGAACGAGUGGCGGACGGGUGAGUAAGGGCUGAGAAACUGCCUGAUGGAGGGGGCUAACGACUGGAAACGGUAGAUAAUAGCGCAUAAGAUACGAUGUGCCCAGAGGGGAUUAGCUAGUAGGUGGGGUAAAGGCUAACCAAGGCGACGAUGCCUAGCUGGUCUGAGAGGAUGACCAGCCACACUGGGACUGAGACACGGUCCAGACUCCUACGGGAGGCAGCAGUGGGGAAUAUUGCACAAUGGGCGCAAGCCUGAUGCAGCCAUGCCGCGUGUAUGAAGAAGGCCUUCGGAUUGUAAAGUCCUGUCAGCGGGGAGGCGUUACCUGCCGAAGAAGCACCGGCUAACUCCGUGCCAGCAGCCGCGGUAAUUC